AACUGUUCUGGUGGUCUAGUGGUCAGAGUGUCCGCCACAGGAAGUGGGAGGCCAUGGGUUCGAUCCCCAGCUGAGUCA